GGGUUGUGAGGUUAAGCGACUAAGCGUACACGGUGGAUGCCCUGGCAGUCAGAGGCGAUGAAGGGCGUGCUAAUCUGCGAUAAGCGCCGGUAAGGUGAUAUGAACCGUUAUAACCGGCGAUACCCGAAUGGGGAAACCCAGUGUGACUCGUCACACUAUCAUUAACUGAAUCCAUAGGUUAAUGAGGCGAACCGGGGGAACUGAAACAUCUAAGUACCCCGAGGAAAAGAAAUCAACCGAGAUUCCCCCAGUAGCGGCGAGCGAACGGGGAGGAGCCCAGAGCCUGAAUCAGCAUGUGUGUUAGUGGAAGCGUCUGGAAAGGCGCGCGAUACAGGGUGACAGCCCCGUACACAAAAGCGCAUGUGUUGUGAGCUCGAUGAGUAGGGCGGGACACGUGGUAUCCUGUCUGAAUAUGGGGGGACCAUCCUCCAAGGCUAAAUACUCCUGACUGACCGAUAGUGAACCAGUACCGUGAGGGAAAGGCGAAAAGAACCCCGGCGAGGGGAGUGAAAAAGAACCUGAAACCGUGUACGUACAAGCAGUGGGAGCACCCUUUGGGGUGUGACUGCGUACCUUUUGUAUAAUGGGUCAGCGACUUAUAUUCUGUAGCAAGGUUAACCGAAUAGGGGAGCCGGAGGGAAACCGAGUCUUAAU
rnacentral:rRNA from 1 species